AUGACGCUCAAACCCCAAGUAGGCGCCAGUAUAGACAUACUGUUGAGUGCCAUCGUCAUCCUCAUCCUCAUCCAUGGCGACGGUUUUGUCUCCCCGAUCCCCAAUCCCCGAAGCUCGGAUCCAGCAGCAGCAUCAGCGAUAGCGGCCGCGAGAGAUCCUCUCCAAGGUCAAGCACGUCCAGGCCAAGCCUGCUGGCCGCCCUCGCGGGUGACUGCCUCCGCGGUGACGACGGCGGCCUCGUCGUCCCCGGAGGCCGCGGCGCCCCUCAAGGCCGACCUCCGCCACGUGAGUGAUCCGUCGAUCUCGUCUCUCCAACAGUGUUCCGGAUGCACGCACGAGUUCGACCUGGACAAGCCGCCGGUGCUGCAGGAGGUGGCGGAUUUCUUCAGUGGCCACGGAAUCGAGGACUUCACCUUCAGCAGGGGUAGGCUGCAAUAUCACAAAACUGAUAGUGAUGUGAAUUUGUUAAGGGAGUACUACAGGUGGAUCAAUCUCCCCCUCCCUCUCACCCCCGUCUCUGUCUCUGCAGGUAGGACAGGAGGAACAGCGACAAGUGACGGGAUGAAGCCCGGCCAUGGAAACCCACCGCAGCCUUCAAGACGUCGACGGCGGUCGGUGCUAUGGUAUGAAUCCUUCCUCCACUUCAAGACCUCUACGUACGACGGUCAGCAGCACGCGCGCGCAUUGCACUCUUCCUCUUGCUCUGUUCUUGGGCUGAUGCUGGCAGCGGUGCAGGGGAUCCUGAUCAACAUGCAGUUCCCGGGGCCGCAGAUCGACGCCGUCACCAACGACAACAUCGUCAUCAACGUCUUCAACAACCUGAUCUGA
rnacentral:rRNA from 1 species